AGCAGCCGCGGUAAUUCCAGCUCCAAUAGCGUAUAUUAAAGUUGUUGCAGUUAAAAAGCUCGUAGUUGAAUUUCGAGACCGGUCUACUGGUCGUGCUUUUGUACGUACUGGUAUAAUCGGUUUCUCUCUUCUGACGAACUAUAAUGCCAUUAAUUUGGUGUUUUAGGGAAUCAGGACUGUUACUUUGAAAAAAAUUAGAGUGUUUAAAGCAGGCUCACGCUUGAAUACAUUAGCAUGGAAUAACGAAAUAGGACGUUUGAUUCUAUUUUGUUGGUUUCUAGGAUCGACGUAAUGAUUAAUAGGGAUAGUUGGGGGCAUUAGUAUUCAAUUGUCAGAGGUGAAAUUCUUGGAUUUAUUGAAGACUAACUACUGCGAAAGCAUUUGCCAAGGAUGUUUUCAUUAAUCAAGAACGAAAGUUAGGGGAUCGAAGACGAUCAGAUACCGUCGUUAGUCUUAACCAUAAACUAUGCCGACUAGGGAUCGGAUGAUGUUAAUUUUUUAAUUGUACUCUAUUCGGCGC
rnacentral:rRNA from 1 species